GACCAAUAGGAAAUCACAGCGCGUCCCUAUGGCGGCCAAUGGGAGAGGAGUAAGAGGGGUUGCGGACUACGGUUCCGGGGACAGGAAGUACGGCGGCCCCGUCGCCUACUGGAAUGCAAGAAUGGGAGAAAAGCAUGCCGGCUAGGAAAGGGGAAGGACUAGAUUUUAUUUCAUGUCCCUUCCCAAUGCUCCAUUGCUCCCUUGUUUUUCAUCCCCCGGUCGAUGGAAAAGAAAAUUCUUCUGGAAAAAUGUCUCAAUCCGCGAAAGAAAAGAGCUGUGUUUGUGGACCGCUGAAGCUUCGGAAAAGCAAAACUUGAAAGACCCUUCUAGAAGGCUAGGAAUAAGCUCUCUCAUUGGCGGC